GAUGAAGAACGCAGCGAAAUGCGAUAAGUAGUGUGAAUUGCAGAAGUACCGUGAAUCAUCGAAUCUUUGAACGCAAAUUGCACUCUCUGGUAUUCCGGGGAGUAUGCCUGUUUGAGGGUCGCUUAACAAACCAUCGAUUUCGUUGCUUUUUUUUUUAAAGUGAUGUUUAUCGGAUUUUGAGCCUUCUUUUUUUUUAUAUUUAAGUGGCUUAAAAUUGAUUUUUUUGGUACGAUCGAAGCGUAUUUUUAUGAUCAAUUUUUGGUUAAAGAAACGCACACGUACCGUUAUUUAUAUGAUGUAAUACGUUUGACUAUUGGAUUUAGUUCAUUCGUAUACGAUAUCUUUCAAUAUUUGACCUCAAAUCAGGUAAGAACACCCGCUGAACUUAAGCAUAUCAAUAAGCGGAGGA
rnacentral:misc_RNA from 1 species